UGCGAGUCAUUGUAGCAAUACAAGGCAGACGGCUCAGUAACGUGUAGUCAACCUAACCUAUGGACGGGAAUAACCUCGGGAAACUGAGUAUAAUGCCCGAUAGAACAUUAUGCCUGGAAUGGUUUAUGUUCCAAAUGAUUUAUCGCCGUAGGAUGGGACUGCGGCCUAUCAGUUUGUUGGUGAGGUAAUGGCCCACCAAGACUAUUACAGGUACGGGCUCUGAGAGGAGUAGCCCGGAGAUGGGUACUGAGACACGGACCCAGGCCCUAUGGGGCGCAGCAGGCGAGAAAACUUUGCAAUGUGCGAAAGCACGACAAGGUUAAUCCGAGUGGUUUCUGCUAAAGGAACCUUUUGUCGGUCCUAGAAACACCGAUGAAUAAGGGGUGGGCAAGUUCUGGUGUCAGCCGCCGCGGUAAAACCAGCACCUCAAGUGGUCAGGAUGAUUAUUGGGCCUAAAGCAUCCGUAGCCGGCGCUGUAAGUUUUCGGUUAAAUCUGUACGCUCAACGUACAGGCUGCCGGGAAUACUGCAGCGCUAGGGAGUGGGAGAGGUAGACGGUACUCGGUAGGAAGGGGUAAAAUCCUUUGAUCUAUUGAUGACCACCUGUGGCGAAGGCGGUCUACCGGAACACGUCCCGACGGUGAGGGAUGAAAGCUGGGGGAGCAAACCGGAUUAGAUACCCCGGGUAGUCCCAGUUGUAAACUAUGCAAACUCAGUGAUGCAUUGGCUUGUGGCCAAUGCAGUGCUGCAGGGAAGCCGUUAAGUUUGCCGCCUGGGAAGUACGUACGCAAGUAUGAAACUUAAAGGAAUUGGCGGGGG
rnacentral:rRNA from 1 species